rnacentral:rRNA from 1 species
CUAAUUGGCAGGGUAAAAGCCUACCAAGGCAUAGAUCGGUAGCCGGCCUGAGAGGGCACACGGCCACACUGGCACUGAAACACGGGCCAGACUCCUACGGGAGGCAGCAGUGGGGAAUCUUGCACAAUGGGGGAAACCCUGAUGCAGCGACGCCGCGUGAGCGAUGAAGCCCUUCGGGGUGUAAAGCUCUUUCGGCAGGGAAGAUAGUGACGGUACCUGCAGAAGCAGCUGCGGCUAACUACGUGCCAGCAGCCGCGGUAAUACGUAGGCAGCGAGCGUUGUUCGGAGUUACUGGGCGUAAAGGGUGUGUAGGCGGUCGUCUAAGUUUGGUGUGAAAUCUCCCGGCUCAACUGGGAGGGUGCGCCGAAUACUGAAUGACUUCGAGUGCGGGAGAGGAAAGUGGAAUUCCUGGUGUAGCGGUGAAAUGCGUAGAUAUCAGGAGGAACACCGGUGGUGUAGACGGCUUUCUGGACCGUAACUGACGCUGAGACACGAAAGCGUGGGUAGCAAACAGGAUUAGAUACCCUGGUAGUCCACGCCCUAAACGAUGCAUAUUUGGUGUGGGCAGUUCAUUCUGUCCGUGCCGGAGCUAACGCGUUAAAUAUGCCGCCUGGGGAGUACAGUCGCAAGGCUGAAACUCAAAGGAAUUGACG